rnacentral:rRNA from 1 species
CGCGCAGGCGGCCUGUCGCGUGUCUGGUGAAAGCUCUCGGCUUAACCGGGAGAGGUCCAGGCAAACGGGCAGGCUUGAGCAUCGGAGAGGGGCAUGGAACUCCGGGUGGAGCGGUGAAAUGCGUAGAGAUCCGGAAGAACACCAAUGGCGAAGGCAGUGCCCUGGCCGACUGCUGACGCUCAGGCGCGAAAGCGUGGGGAGCGAACA